rnacentral:lncRNA from 1 species
GUGAGACGUGGAAGGCCUGGGUCAGCUUCUGUUACGAUGGUGCUACAGGUCUGUGCUCAGAGACUCCAACUCGGAUUAUACAUGAGUGACAGGUGAAAAGUAAAGAGAAAAUGUAAGUUCAGAGGUCACUUGAGACCACGUGGCCAUCACUGCAGAUCGGUGUCUGGACAGAGGUGCACAGCUGUUGAGAGGGGACCACGUGGCCAUCACUGCAGAUCGGCGUCUGCACAGAGGAGGAGGAGCCCUGUGUGGGCUAGGGCAAGGCCUGUGUUAGCCAGAGAGAGGGGUGAGCAGAGAGGCACCAAGAGACCAAGGGAGAUGGCCCCUGACCUGGGGUGA